rnacentral:lncRNA from 1 species
CAACUGUGGUUUAGAAGAACGUGCACUGAGGCACGUGACUGGUUGAGCCGUUGGGGGUGGGGGGAUGGGGAGAGAAGGGUGUGACUGAGAGGGAGAAGAAAUUGCUGGGCGUCCAUGGGCAGGGGAGGAUGAGCGGGAAGCAGCAGAGAAGAUGGUGUAGUGCCCAUUGGAUGGAAAAUUGUGGCUGUUUUGAUGGUUAGAGGUGUGGGGUAGCCCCUGCAGUGACAACCCGAAGGAACACAAAUACACAGAACCGGGCACAGUAAUGAACUUGAAGCAUAGUCAAAGACGCCGUGAGGAUGCAGGAAGCCUCUCUGCCCCCAGUCCCAAGAAUAUGGACAUACUGUGUUCAGAAAAGUGUUCAAUUUCUACACUUCCUGCCCUGGGUAAUUGAAUCAAAUCUUUCUAGGUUUUAAUAAACGAAGAGACCAGGUGACCUUGCGAACAUACAAGAAGGCAUGCUGUCGUCCAUGAUGAUACAUCAAAAGAGGGCAUCCAAAGCCUCGACACCAUGUGGUUGCUGGGAAUUGAACUCAGGACCUCUGUAGGAGCGACAGGGUCUCUCAUUGUAGCCCUGGAUGUCCUGGAACUCAGGGUGGCCUUGAACUUACAGAGAUCCAACUGCAUUUUGAGUGCUGAGAUUAAAGUGGUUCCCUAGAUCUGUGAAGUGUGUGUGGAAAGUCAGUGUGGGUUUCAGAUGUGCCAGAUCUCCCAGAGGAAAGGUCUCUUCUGAUGCUUCCUUAGAGACCACUUGAUUCUUACUCUCCUACUAGCUUUUUAGGUAUUUGAGCAUCUAUUUCCUAGUUGAAAACCCAGUAGCCUCCUCACCAGCUUCAGCAUCCAGAUAUGAUGUGCUUGCAUUCUUCUGGUCUUCUUGUAGCCUGAACUCAUUCCACCUCCCCACAACGCCAACAUUUCACUUCUUUUAUUUGGAGGAGGACGUUUGGAAGUUGUGUUUCUGGAAAUGUUUUGUAUUUAUUUUCCCAGUAAACUUAAGAAAACUUAAAAGUAAUUAAAUGUUUUUUUCCUUUUGAAAAGACAGAAUCUUAAAACACUUGGAGUAUGUCUUCUUUCAAAUGUACAUGUCAAUGGUGCCUAAUAUUUUUUGUUUC